ensembl:lncRNA
GUGUGUGUGAGUGUGUGUGUGUGUGAGUGUGUGUGUGUGUGUGAGUGUGUGAGUGUGUGAGUGUGUGAGUGUGUGAGUGUGUGAGUGUGUGAGUGUGUGAGUGUGUGAGUGUGAGUGUGUGAGUGUGAGUGUGAGUGUGAGUGUGAGUGUGAGUGUGAGUGUGAGAGUGAGUGAGAGUGUGUGUGUGCGCGACCAAGCAUGAGUGUGCGAUAAUUGCCGAUGACUCAUUUUGCCUUAUUUAUGUUGCGCAUUGGAAUCUCUCGCCGUGCCUCGUCAGCCGUUAAUUUCAUUACGGUGCUCGUAUCGUCUCCGUCGCUCUCCGUUCAAUUACCCUCUCAUCGGCGUGCGUUUUCCGCCGAGUCAACGUGCAACACCACGCAGAGGAAGCCGUCACCCCAUCGGGGUCGAUUCGAUGACCGUUUCACAAAGGCUACACCGUUACGUGUCUACUCCACCGGGCUAGGCAGAAAUCCGUACGGCGUACGUGCGCGUCGGAAACCCGUUUCCUGAUUAAGUUUCACAGCCUACGCUUCGAGUCCAUGGCGAAGAGCGUGCCGCACACCUCUCGUGUAACAAAUCAAUUAGGGGCCAAUCAGCAAUAUGAAAGUCGUGUUAAUUCUUUUAAUAUUUCCACGCGCCCCCGGGAGGAAGUGCUGCGCUUAAUUAACGCCGAGACCGUCGGAAGGUGCUAAUUAAGAGGAGUUGGUUCAAAGAGUUUAGGUUUAGGAGCCGUAAUGAGGAUUUCGAGCCUCGGGGACGUCUGGUGCGAGUCCACCGAAGUUCACCGGCGGUGAUCUUCAUCCAGAUGCUCACCUCUGGAGAGAAUUAAAGCAGUCGGUGUAGUUAUAUCUUGACGUGUACUACUAGUUUGUGCAAACAAUACAGCUGAGCGCGUUGUAUUAACACGUGACGCUUCUUACCAUAGUUUCAGCUGGUUGUUACUAAACUCCGUGAACCGCACGGCUUUACACACGCCCGAUCUAAUCUACUGCUCGGGUGAAGAUGUCGCGUGUGCACCGUGUUAAAAGUAACCGCUUAUUUGUGCUUUUUUUUUUUUUAAAAAAAGAAAAUAUUUCGGAAUAAUAAUGAAGCCAUUAUGAACUCUCGAAUUAUGCAGUGACCCAGAACAGUGUUUAAAAACUUUUUUUUUUUUUUUUUUAGACGUGCGCCAAGCAACAAUGAGAGAACAUUGAGAUCAGAGACCCGCCCACUCGGUUUCUAUUGGCUUAAAAGAGCGAGGAUUGUGAAUUCGCAGGUCUCAGUUCACCUAGUUAAAGUUAACAGAAAGCAAACUAAAGUGAGUAAUAGAAGUGUGACUUUCACGUCCCAUGCUCUUUCCCCUUAACGUUAAUUGGCUUCUCACUGGGAGAAUUGUAUUGCCGUUUGGUCUGACUGAUGGUUUUGGCUUUAAAAAAAUAAAUAAAUAAAUAAAAAAAAAAAGCUUGAAAAAAUAAAAAUAAUUGUAGCUCACCUGGAAAAAAAAAAUAAAUAAAAAGAAAAGUUUUACUUUUCUGCUAGUCGAAGCACGGGGAGAACAUGCUAACUCCACGCACACAGAUCCGGAGGCGGGAAUCGAACCCCCAACCCUGGAGGUGCGAGGCGAAUGUGCUAACCGCUGAACCACCGUGCCCCACUAAUCUGUAUUAAUUACCCAAAUGAACUAAAUGUAGAAUUUAAUCUCAGACCGUCCUUCUGUAGCGUAUUUAUCAUCAGGUUCUGAAGUGACCGUAGACGUGCCGUUCUCGAUGUCAUGUAUUUAGAACUGAUUAUCGACCGUAUCGCGUACCAGUCUACUUAAAUUUACCGCCGAAAUCGACUCGGGAUCUAGGAAGCUCAGGAAACGUAUAAUGGAAAUGCGGGUAUGAAACGAGGCUUUAAAUACACGUACUGAUAAGGAACUAAUCACGAACAGCUGGGUACAAAGCGUCGACGUGACAAAGGGCGGAGACGGGGCAAGAAACGGGAAUAACGAUCGGGACAAUAAGAGCACGGGCUAUGCGGAUGCUCAGAGGGGAUUCGUGACACCCGUGUUCUACCGAAGGCCUGUUUUAAUGUUAGAGUUAAUCAAUCUAAUCGAUCAAUAAUCACUCUGGUGUUCAGUUCUUGAUUAAAACGCUGCUGUAGGGCGUUCACAUGGCUUUUAUAGUAUAAAUUCUCAGUCAUGCUGGUUUUUCACGGCUCUGUGAUUCUUACCAUUUUAAAAAAAUCCAGAAAAAAAAACAAACAAACGUUUUAAACUUCCAGAACCUUCCAGGAUUAAGGAGAGUACAGGAGGGUGUAAUAAUAUUACCAGCUGUGUAGUCGGCGAUGGCAAAGAAAGUUAAUAUCUGCGCAAGUCAUUCCAGAUUUGUCUCUCUGGCUCAUCUCCUAUUGUAUUCGGAAUUGAAAAAAAUAAUAACGAGACCGCUCUUUGUGACAUACUAGCAUACGCCAAUGUUAAAUUGCAGCGCUUUUCGGCAGGUCCGCACAUCUGGAAAUAUCAUCGAAUCGGAGUAAAUCGCUGGAAAUCACGCCGAUCAAAUCGUUCACAUCACACGAGCCUGUCCUCGUUGUAGACGUCGUAACCCGUGGUCAUAGCGAGUCUAAAUAAUAGCACCUUUUCUAAAACUCAAAUACAUCUCUGAGAUAAUAUCCAAACUUAUUACACGGCGCGAAUCUAAAUCUAAUAUAAUACAGGACAAGAGCCACGAUGAAGGAAACGACAACAACAAAAAAGUGUUGAGUGAAUAAGUUUUUUUUUUGUUUGUUGUUUUUAAAGAACAGAAGUCAAAAGAAACAUUUUUUUUUUUCCCUUUUGGACCUCUCCUCCUUGCCAUAAAGUUUAUUUUCUCCGAUCUCAGAUCCUCAAAAUGUUCCUUAAGGACAAGUCAAUAAAGCGCUAUAAAUACAAACUGCUUCCUCACGUCCUCUGGGAUUUGCCUAGUGCCAGAAGUUACACGUUCUGCUGAGGCAAACACGGGUCAGGUUCUUUUGCUCCUCAAGCAACCCUUACUUUUUUAAAUGUUUUUAUUUAAAAUAAACAGUAAAAAAAACAAAAAAAACACGACGCCUAACUUUUAUUGAGGUCGGUCUGUUCUGCGUCUGCCCUGGAAACAGAAUGCGACUCGAAUGCUGCCGCAGCUUUCCUCCGUCCUUUCGGCUUCGUACGAGGACGGCCGAUAGGUCAAGAUGUGCUCGGGGCACGCAUCGUACCUAAAGGGACAUCUGCUCCCGUGCUCCAGAGACCGCAGCGUGCUUCACUUAAUGCUAAUGCGGGAGGACGAGAACGAGGCAGCGACGGUAAACAACUAAACUGUGAGGAUAAAAUCAGUUGGGGAAAGAUUCCGGAGGGUUUGGACGGGAUCUGGAACAGGCUUCAGUGUUUCCAGAGAUAAUUAUUUGACUUUGCGUUACGUUUUGUAAAAAAAAUAAAUGUUGUGGCGUUGAUCUUGAUGAUUUACCUCAUCAUCGCCGAGAUAUUUUGAAAAUGAUCUAUUUAUUUGCUUGUUUAUGAAGCAGGUGGCCAAGGACGAGGGUCUUGUAAACAAGAUUUUUGUGUUAUUUUUUUAAUCCGGGGGCCAAGCACUAAAGGUGCAUAGGCACCCUAUUGUUGCAUUUAGAUGAACUGAAGUGCGCACUGAAAUGAGAGAUUUGACGUAGCUGAACGUCACCGUUCGAGGGUUCCAGAGUCAAAAAAAAAGAAACGUCCCUGGUGCUUUUAUUUCUUCCUGAAUGGAAAUUUUAGAUUAUUUCGAUGAACUUUUUGAUUAUUGUGAAACUGCUUUUAACUUCUUCUGUUGUGUGUUAAAAUGUGCA